rnacentral:rRNA from 1 species
UACGGAGGGUGCAAGCGUUAUCCGGAUUCACUGGGUUUAAAGGGUGCGUAGGUGGGUUGGUAAGUCAGUGGCGAAAUCCCCGAGCUUAACUUGGGAACUGCCAUUGAUACUAUCAGUCUUGAAUACCGUGGAGGUCAGCGGAAUAUGUCAUGUAGCGGUGAAAUGCUUAGAUAUGACAUAGAACACCAAUUGCGAAGGCAGCUGGCUAUUCGGAUAUUGACACUGAGGCACGAAAGCGUGGGGAUCAAACAGG